rnacentral:rRNA from 1 species
CCUACGGGUGGCAGCAGUGGGGAAUUGUUCGCAAUGGGCGCAAGCCUGACGACGCAACGCCGCGUGGAGGAUGAAGAUCUUCGGGUCGUAAACUCCUGUCGAGUGGGAAGAAUAGCUUCGGGGCUAACAUCCCCGGAGCCUGACGGUACCACUAAAGGAAGCCCCGGCUAACUCCGUGCCAGCAGCCGCGGUAAUACGGGGGGGGCAAGCGUUGUUCGGAAUUACUGGGCGUAAAGGGCUCGUAGGCGGCCAACUAAGUCGGAUGUGAAAUCCCCAGGCUCAACCUGGGAACUGCAUCCGAUACUGGAUGGCUUGAAUUCGGGAGAGGGAUGCAGAAUUCCAGGUGUAGCGGUGAAAUGCGUAGAUAUCUGGAGGAAUACCGGUGGCGAAGGCGGCAUCCUGGACCGACAUUGACGCUGAGGAGCGAAAGCUAGGGGAGC